AGAGGUGAGAUGCCCACAGGAAGAGGGAAAAAUCAAGAAACAUCGUUGGUCAGACCUGGAGACACAAGAUGGGGAUCUCAUUACACAACCUUAUCUCGCAUUGAAUCAAUGUGGGAUGCAGUCAUAGAAGUUUUGGGCAUUGUUGAGGAUGAUGUGCGUGUUCCAUGUAGGGCAGGAGGUUUGGUUCAUCAAAUGGAGACCUUUAGCUUUGUGUUCAUCCUAAAGAUGAUGCUAAAAAUCCUUCGUAUCACAAAUGAUUUAUCUCUUCUAUUGCAAAAGAAGGAUCAAAAUGUUGUUCAGAUGUGA
rnacentral:rRNA from 1 species